AUGUUACAUUAGUAAAUUUUAAUGUCUUUAAAAUGGAAUCAAUUAAUGCAAAAAGGUAGGAGGUUGUUCUUUUGUAUAGCCAUAUUCGUUGUUCAUUCCACCACCCGAGGAUUGUGCCCCCAGAACACAAGAAUUCAACAAGGCUAUAAAUGUACUUUGCAGAUAUCACAUAGGCAAAUGAUCGAAACCAUGGAUCUGAGACCUG
rnacentral:misc_RNA from 1 species